CAGUAACACGUGGCCAAACUACCCUGUGGAUGGGAACAAUCUCGGGAAACUGAGGCUAAUUCCCAAUAACGCUCCACCCCUGGAACGGGCGGAGCUGGAAACGCUACGGCGCCACAGGAUGUGGCUGCGGUCGAUUAGGUAGACGGUGGGGUAACGGCCCACCGUGCCAAUAAUCGGUACGGGUUGUGAGAGCAAGAGCCCGGAGACGGAAUCUGAGACAAGAUUCCGGGCCCUACGGGGCGCAGCAGGCGCGAAACCUUUACACUGUACGCAAGUGCGAUAAGGGGACUCCGAGUGUGAAGGCAUAGAGCCUUCACUUUUGUACACCGUAAGGUGGUGUACGAAUAAGGGCUGGGCAAGACCGGUGCCAGCCGCCGCGGUAAUACCGGCAGCCCGAGUGAUGGCCGAUAUUAUUGGGCCUAAAGCGUCCGUAGCUGGCCGGACAAGUCCGUUGGGAAAUCUGUUCGCUUAACGAGCAGGCGUCCAGCGGAAACUGUUCGGCUUGGGACCGGAAGACCUGAGGGGUACGUCCGGGGUAGGAGUGAAAUCCUGUAAUCCUGGACGGACCACCGGUGGCGAAAGCGCCUCAGGAGGACGGAUCCGACAGUGAGGGACGAAAGCUAGGGUCUCGAACCGGAUUAGAUACCCGGGUAGUCCUAGCUGUAAACGAUGCCCGCUAGGUGUGGCGCAGGCUACGAGCCUGCGCUGUGCCGUAGGGAAGCCGAGAAGCGGGCCGCCUGGGAAGUACGUCUGCAAGGAUGAAACUUAAAGGAAUUGGCG
rnacentral:rRNA from 1 species